UAUCUCUGUAGAGUCUGCAUAUCAAUAAGCGGAGGAAAAGAAACUAACUAGGAUUCCCUCAGUAACGGCGAGUGAAGCGGGAAGAGCUCAAAUUUGAAAUCUUCAAGGUUUUACCUUGACGAAUUGUAGUUUAAAGAAGUGUUUUCUGUUGGUGUUUUGGUAAAAGUUCUUUGGAAUAGGACAUCAUAGAGGGUGAGAAUCCCGUAUUUGACCGUUACUUUCCAGCUGUGUGAUACACUUUCAAAGAGUCGGAUUGUUUGGGAAUGCAGUCCAAAAUGGGUGGUAAAUUUCAUCUAAAGCUAAAUACUGGCGAGAGACCGAUAGCAAACAAGUACCGUGAGGGAAAGGUGAAGAGAACUUUGAAAAGAGAGUUAAACAGUACGUGAAAUUGUCAAAAGGGAAGCGUUUGACACCAGUGUUGUUUUCUCGAAAAUCAAUUAAAAAUGACUUGAUUUUGUGUUGUAUUGACCUUAAAAGCUUUCUUCACUCUUUUCAUGUUAUUUUUAAUGCACUUUUCGUUUAACAAGUCAACAUCAAUUUCUUUUGUUGUAAAAAGGUCAUUGGAAGGUGGCUUUCUUUUCGGAGAAAGUGUUUAUAGCCUUUGACUCCUGCAAUCGGAGAGACUGAGGUCUGCAGCGUAGAUCCUUCUUGGAUUAGAUUCAUUUGUGCUAAGUUAUAGCUUUUUAUAGACAACUUGUUGACUAUAGUUUAGUCUUGUAGCUUACUCGCUUAUGUAAUUUUACCUACGCUUAGGAUGUUGAUCUCUCACAGUCGAGC
rnacentral:rRNA from 1 species